rnacentral:rRNA from 1 species
UGGGGAAUAUUGGACAAUGGGCGAAAGCCUGAUCCAGCCAUGCCGCGUGUGAGAAGAAGGUCUUCGGAUUGUAAAGCACUUUAAGUUGGGAGGAAGGGCAUUAACCUAAUACGUUAGUGUUUUGACGUUACCGACAGAAUAAGCACCGGCUAACUCUGUGCCAGCAGCCGCGGUAAUACAGAGGGUGCAAGCGUUAAUCGGAAUUACUGGGCGUAAAGCGCGCGUAGGUGGUUUGUUAAGUUGGAUGUGAAAUCCCCGGGCUCAACCUGGGAACUGCAUUCAAAACUGACUGACUAGAGUAUGGUAGAGGGUGGUGGAAUUUCCUGUGUAGCGGUGAAAUGCGUAGAUAUAGGAAGGAACACCAGUGGCGAAGGCGACCACCUGGACUAAUACUGACACUGAGGUGCGAAAGCGUGGGGAGCAAACA